CAGGCGGCGGGGUCUGCGGCGCCGGCGGCCGGCAUUUCAGGAGCUCGCCGAGCCUGCUCUCCACCUGCUGCUGCGGGGGACCUGCGGGC